rnacentral:rRNA from 1 species
GACGAACGCUGGCGGCGUGCCUAAUACAUGCAAGUCGAACGCAGUGGGGACGGGUGAGUAACACGUUGGUAACCUCCCAUCAGAGGGGACAACACUUGGAAACAGGUGCUAAACCGAUACUGAUGGAUGGACCCGCGGUGCAUUAGCUAGUUGGUGAGGUAACGGCUCACCAAGGCCACGAUGCAUAGCCGACCUGAGAGGGUGAUCGGCCAAACUGGGACGGAGACACGGCCCAGACUCAUACGGGAGGCAGAAGUAGGGAAGAUUCGGCAAUGGACGAAAGUCUGACCGAGCAACGCCGCGUGAUUGAAGAAGGUUUUCGGGUCGUAAAGCUCUGUUGUUAGAGAAGCGGUAUCUAACCAGAAAGCCACGGCUAACUACGGGCCAGCAGCCGCGGUAAGUC